rnacentral:rRNA from 1 species
GCCCGCUCAAGUAAACGUAAAGGAAUGACGGGGGCCCGCACAAGCGGUGGAGCAUGUGGUUUAAUCGAUGAUACGCGAAGAACCUUACCGGGGUUUGACAUGCAGGUGAUCGCCGUUGAAAGACGGUUUCCUCUUCGGAGGCACCUGCACAGGUGCUGCAUGGCUGUCGUCAGCUCGUGUCGUGAGAUGUUGGGUUAAGUCCCGCAACGAGCGCAACCCUCGUCGCUAGUUAAUUUCCCUAGCGAGACCGCCUCGCAAAACGAGGAGGAAGGCGGGGAUGGCGUCAAGUCAGCAUGGCCUUUAUACCCUGGGCGACACACACGCUACAAUGGGUGGUACAGUAGGUAGCGAAGGAGCGAUCCGGAGCAAAUCCUUAAAAACCAUCCUCAGUACGGAUUGCAGGCUGAAACCCGCCUGCAUGAAGCCGGAGUUGCUAGUAACCGCAUAUCAGCAUGGUGCGGUGAAUACGUUCUCGGGCCUU